rnacentral:rRNA from 1 species
GGCCGCAGUAAUUUGACUGUGCAAAGGUAGCAUAAUCAAUAGUUUUUUAAUUAAAAGCUUGUAUGAAAGGUUGGACGAGAUAAGAUCUGUCUUUUUUUAAUUAUAUUAGAAUUUAAUUUUUAAGUAAAAAAGCUUAAAUAUGUAUAAAAGACGAGAAGACCCUAUAGAGCUUUAUAUUAAAUUUUUAAUAAUUAAUAUAGAUUUAUUUAUUUUAUUGAUUUUUUAUUAUUAUAUUGGGGUAAUAUAAAGAUUAGAUUAAUUCUUUAUUAAUUUAAAUAUUAAUUUAUAAAUUUUUGAUCCAUUAAUAUUGAUUAUAAGAUUAAGUUACCUUAGGGAUAACAGCGUAAUUUUUUUAGAGAGUUCAUAUUGAUAAAAAAGUUUGCGACCUCGAUGUUGGAUUAAAAAUUAAUUUAGGUGCAAAAGCUUAAAUGUUUGGUCUGUUCGACCAUUAAAUUUUUACAUGAUCUGAGUUCAGACCGGUUUAAACCAGGUCGGUUUCUAUCUUUAUUUAAUGAAAAUAUUUUAGUACGAAAGGACCAAAUAUUUAUUAAAAUAAUUAUAUUUUUGAAAUUUAUU